rnacentral:rRNA from 1 species
GACGAACGCUGGCGGCGUGCUUAACACAUGCAAGUCGAACGGAAAGGCCCUGCUUUUGUGGGGUGCUCGAGUGGCGAACGGGUGAGUAACACGUGAGUAACCUGCCCUUGACUUUGGGAUAACUUCAGGAAACUGGGGCUAAUACCGGAUAGGAGCUCCUGCUGCAUGGUGGGGGUUGGAAAGUUUCGGCGGUUGGGGAUGGACUCGCGGCUUAUCAGCUUGUUGGUUGGGUAGUGGCUUACCAAGGCUUUGACGGGUAGCCGGCCUGAGAGGGUGACCGGCCACAUUGGGACUGAGCUACGGCCCAGACUCCUACGGGAGGCAGGAGUGGGGAAUAUUGCACAAUGGGCGGAAGCCUGAUGCAGCCACGCCGCGUGCGGGAUGACGGCCUUCGGGUUGUAAACCGAUUUCGCCUGUGACGAAGCGUGAGUGACGGUAAUGGGUAAAGAAGCACCGGCUAACUACGUG